rnacentral:rRNA from 1 species
GCUGGCGGCAGGCCUAACACAUGCAAGUCGAGCGGAUGAGAAGAGCUUGCUCUUCGAUUCAGCGGCGGACGGGUGAGUAAUGCCUAGGAAUCUGCCUGGUAGUGGGGGACAACGUUUCGAAAGGAACGCUAAUACCGCAUACGUCCUACGGGAGAAAGCAGGGGACCUUCGGGCCUUGCGCUAUCAGAUGAGCCUAGGUCGGAUUAGCUAGUUGGUGAGGUAAUGGCUCACCAAGGCGACGAUCCGUAACUGGUCUGAGAGGAUGAUCAGUCACACUGGAACUGAGACACGGUCCAGACUCCUACGGGAGGCAGCAGUGGGGAAUAUUGGACAAUGGGCGAAAGCCUGAUCCAGCCAUGCCGCGUGUGUGAAGAAGGUCUUCGGAUUGUAAAGCACUUUAAGUUGGGAGGAAGGGCAGUAAGAAUACCUUGCUGUUUUGACG